GGGACACGUGGUAUCCUGUCUGAAUAUGGGGGGACCAUCCUCCAAGGCUAAAUACUCCUGACUGACCGAUAGUGAACCAGUACCGUGAGGGAAAGGCGAAAAGAACCCCGGCGAGGGGAGUGAAAAAGAACCUGAAACCGUGUACGUACAAGCAGUGGGAGCACGCUUAGGCGUGUGACUGCGUACCUUUUGUAUAAUGGGUCAGCGACUUAUAUUCUGUAGCAAGGUUAACCGAAUAGGGGAGCCGAAGGGAAACCGAGUCUUAACUGGGCGUUAAGUUGCAGGGUAUAGACCCGAAACCCGGUGAUCUAGCCAUGGGCAGGUUGAAGGUUGGGUAACACUAACUGGAGGACCGAACCGACUAAUGUUGAAAAAUUAGCGGAUGACUUGUGGCUGGGGGUGAAAGGCCAAUCAAACCGGGAGAUAGCUGGUUCUCCCCGAAAGCUAUUUAGGUAGCGCCUCGUGAAUUCAUCUCCGGGGGUAGAGCACUGUUUCGGCAAGGGGGUCAUCCCGACUUACCAACCCGAUGCAAACUGCGAAUACCGGAGAAUGUUAUCACGGGAGACACACGGCGGGUGCUAACGUCCGUCGUGAAGAGGGAAACAACCCAGACCGCCAGCUAAGGUCCCAAAGUCAUGGUUAAGUGGGAAACGAUGUGGGAAGGCCCAGACAGCCAGGAUGUUGGCUUAGAAGCAGCCAUCAUUUAAAGAAAGCGUAAUAGCUCACUGGUCGAGUCGGCCUGCGCGGAAGAUGUAACGGGGCUAAACCAUGCACCGAAGCUGCGGCAGCGACACUAUGUGUUGUUGG
rnacentral:rRNA from 1 species